GCCCUUGUAGCUCAGCUGGAGGAGCGCCGGUUUCGUAAACCGGAGGCCGUCGGUUCGAACCCGACCAGGGGCU
rnacentral:tRNA from 1 species